AGCUCCGGUGGCCUAGUGGUUAGAGCUUCCGCCUCGGAUGUGGGAGGUCGCGAGUUCGAACCAUAACCGAGUCA